rnacentral:rRNA from 1 species
GUGUCAGCCGCCGCGGUAAUACAGAGGGGGCAAGCGUUGUUCGGAAUUACUGGGCGUAAAGGGCGCGUAGGCGGCCUGUUAAGUCAGACGUGAAAUCCCUCGGCUCAACCGGGGAACUGCGUCUGAUACUGGCGGGCUUGAAUUCGGGAGAGGGAUGUGGAAUUCCAGGUGUAGCGGUGAAAUGCGUAGAUAUCUGGAGGAACACCGGUGGCGAAGGCGGCAUCCUGGACCGACAUUGACGCUGAGGCGCGAAAGCCAGGGGAGCAAACGGGAUUAGAUACCCCGGUAGUCCUGGCCCUAAACGAUGAGUGCUUGGUGUGGCGGGUAUCGAUCCCUGCCGUGCCGAAGCUAACGCAUUAAGCACUCCGCCUGGGGAGUACGGUCGCAAGGCUGAA